rnacentral:other from 1 species
AAAGCUCUGGCCUGUUCGUGUACGAAGGUAAUUUGGUUCGAACCGACACCUCGAACCGAAUGGGAGUCUAGUUAAGAAGGCAGCACAUGGACCGUAACGGUCAAUUGUAAAGCCCUCUACAGAUCUCCCACCUUAAAUGCGGGUUCUCGAACAAACACCUCUCACGGCAGGCUGGAGCUUUU